CCGGCGCACGGGUGAGUAACGCGUAUGCGACCUGCCCGUUGCAGGGGGAUAAUCGGGAGAAAUCCCGUCUAAUACCGCGUAACGCCGCGGGGCUGCAUGGCCCUGCGGCCAAAGGGAGCGAUUCCGGCAACGGAUGGGCAUGCGUGACAUUAGCAGUUGGCGGGGCAACGGCCCACCAAGGCGACGAUGUCUAGGGGUUCUGAGAGGAAGGUCCCCCACACUGGUACUGAGACACGGACCAGACUCCUACGGGAGGCAGCAG
rnacentral:rRNA from 1 species